rnacentral:tRNA from 1 species
GCCCCGAUGGCUCCGAGGCGAGAGCGCCAGCCUACAGAUCACGACGUGGCGGGUUCGAAUCCCGCUCGAGGUG